rnacentral:rRNA from 1 species
GGAAGGCGGGCGCUAUACAUGCAGUCGACGAACUUUCUUACACCGAAUGCUUGCAUUCACCGUAAGAAGUUGAGUGGCGGACGGGUGAGUAACACGUGGGUAACCUGCCUAAAAGAAGGGGAUAACACUUGGAAACAGGUGCUAAUACCGUAUAUCUCUAAGGAUCGCAUGAUCCUUAGAUGAAAGAUGGUUCUGCUAUCGCUUUUAGAUGGACCCGCGGCGUAUUAACUAGUUGGUGGGGUAACGGCCUACCAAGGUGAUGAUACGUACCCGAACUGAGAGGUUGAUCGGCCACAUUGGGACUGAGACACGGCCCAAACUCCUACGGGAGGCAGCAGUAGGGAAUCUUCCACAAUGGACGCAAGUCUGAUGGAGCAACGCCGCGUGAGUGAAAAAGGUCUUCGGAUCGUAAAACUCUGUUGUUAGAGAAGAACACGAGUGAGAGUAACUGUUCAUUCAAUGACGGUAUCUAACCCUCAAGUCACGGCUAACUACGUGCCAGCGGCCGCGGUAAUACGUAUGUGGCAAGCGUUGUCCGGAUUUAUUGGGCGUGAAGGGAACGCAGGCGGUCUUUUAAAUCUGAUGUGAAAGCCUUCGGCUUAACCGGAGUAGUGCAUUGUGAACUGGAAGACUUGAUUGCAGAAGAAGAGAGUGGAACUCCAUGUGUAGCGGUGAAAUGCGUAGAUAUAUGGAAGAACACCAGUGGCGAAAGCGGCUCUCUGGUCUGUAACUGACGCUGAGGUUCGAAAGCGUGGGUAGCAAACAGGAUUAGAUACCCUGGUAUCCACGCCGUAAACGAUGAAUGCUAGGUGUUGGAGGGUUUCCGCCUUUCAGUGCCGCAGCUAACGCAAUAAGCAUUCCGCCUGGGGAGUACGACCGCAAGGUUGAAACUCAAAGGAAUUGACGGGGGCCCGCACAAGCGGUGGAGCAUGUGGUUUAAUUCGAAGCAACGCGAAGAACCUUACCAGGUCUUGACAUCCUUUGACCACCUAAGAGAUUAGGUUUUCCCUUCGGGGACAAAGUGACAGGUGGUGCAUGGCUGUCGUCAGCUCGUGUCGUGAGAUGUUGGGUUAAGUCCCGCAACGAGCGCAACCCUUGUUGUCAGUUGCCAGCAUUAAGUUGGGCACUCUGGCGAGACUGCCGGUGACAAACCGGAGGAAGGUGGGGACGACGUCAAGUCAUCAUGCCCCUUAUGACCUGGGCUACACACGUGCUACAAUGGACGGUACAACGAGUCGCAAGACCGCGAGGUUUAGCUAAUCUCUUAAAGCCGUUCUCAGUUCGGAUUGUAGGCUGCAACUCGCCUACAUGAAGUCGGAAUCGCUAGUAAUCGCGAAUCAGCAUGUCGCGGUGAAUACGUUCCCGGGCCUUGUACACACCGCCCGUCACACCAUGAGAGUUUGUAACACCCAAAGCCGGUGGGGUAACCGCAAGGAGCCAGCCGUCUAAGGUGGAACAGAUGAUUGGGU